CUGGCGGCAGCCUAACACAUGCAAGUCGAACGAGAAAGUGGAGCAAUCCAUGAGUAAAGUGGCGACCGGGUGAGUAACACGUGACUAACCUACCUCCGAGUGGGGAAUAACUCCGGGAAACCGGGGCUAAUACCGCAUAACAUCGCAAGAUCAAAGCAGCAAUGCGCUUGGAGAGGGGGUCGCGGCUGAUUAGCUCGUUGGCGGGGUAACGGCCCACCAAGGCGAAGAUCGGUAUCCGGCCUGAGAGGGCGCACGGACACACUGGAACUGAAACACGGUCCAGACUCCUACGGGAGGCAGCAGUGGGGAAUUUUGCGCAAUGGGGGAAACCCUGACGCAGCAACGCCGCGUGGAGGAUGAAGCCCUUUGGGGCGUAAACUCCUUUCGACUCGGACGAUAAUGACGGUACGAGUGGAAGAAGCACCGGCUAACUCUGUGCCAGCAGCCGCGGUAAUACAGAGGGUGCGAGCGUUGUUCGGAAUUAUUGGGCGUAAAGGGCGCGUAGGCGGUGCGGUAAGUCACCUGUGAAAUCUCCUGGCUUAACUGGGAGUCUGCAGGCGAAACUACCGUGCUGGAGUGUGGGAGAGGUGCGU
rnacentral:rRNA from 1 species